UAUUUUCUGUCGCUUUUAGGUGGGAAAUUUGCUGAGAAAUCGAGCCUGUUUGACACGAUCCCCCUGCAGCGCGCGGGGAACAAGACGGAGAUUGCCCACAGCAGCCUGUACCUGGCGAGCCCCCUCUCCUCCUACGUGACAGGAACCACCCUGGUCGUGGAUGGUGGGAGCUGGCUCACCUCUGCCAACAGCUUCUCUGCCUUGCUGGGUAUUGCCUCAUCCUCUGCUAAACUCUAGAUUUCUGGUCUGCAGGAGCAAACCAACCCCAGUGAUGGACAGCGUGGGACUGACCGAUGGACAGACGUGACCGAAGCUGCCCGGGGACCCCUCGGGGUGACACCUGUCCCAGAGCAGGUGCCCAUGGCCAUGGCCUCUGAUUGGUAACUGGGGGUGGUGGUGACACUGCCAGCCCUGUGUCUGCCUGGGGGACAGAGCUCAGGAGUUACUGGGUGGGGAGCAGUCCCACACCUAUCCUGUGCCUUGACUGUCUUCUGAGCUGCUGUGGCUGAGGGUGCAGGGACAGCACAAGGGGUGAGGCUGGGAUGGUCACUGUCCCUUUGUGUUCCUCUGAGCUGCUCUCCUGGCCUUUCCCAAGUCCCAGGCAGUGCUGCCCCGGGAUAUCCAUCCUCUUCUGCCCCCAUCUCAGCCUGAGAACUGCCCAGGACCCCCAGCAGCAGCUCCUUUGAGGGAGGGGGAGUAGCUCAGCUCACCUGGGGUCAGAAUCACCCAGUGUGGUGGGGCCAGCUCUACCUUUGCAGCAGGAUCCAGCAGCUCUCAGAGGGGAAACAACCGGCCCCUGGCAGGGGGAAGUGGCCUCAUCCCCUCCGGGAGUCCAGAGUGGGCAUCCUGAAGGCUGCCAUGGAUGCAGCCAAGGUGCCCCUCUCCCAGGAGCAGAGCUGGUGUGAAGGCAGAUCCUCCCAGAGGACUGGGGUGCCAGCACCCUGGGGGCACACACUGCUCCCAUGCAGCCUCCUGCCGCUGAAGGCAGCUUUUAGCCUCACUCUGAAUUCCAUGAAGCUUGUUUUCCCACCUAAUUGUGUUUCCUACUUGAUUGUAAACUUGCCAGGUUUUGCUCCUUCCUUCAGGUCACGAAUAAAGAAUUUGCACCCUGA